rnacentral:lncRNA from 1 species
UUUCCAUAAGGCAGCAAGUCCUAGGGUACGAGGACACCCUAAAGAAACGGACUCUUCAAGCAAAAGCAAUAUCUUAAAGAUAUCUUUCCAUAAAACUUCAAAAACCCGCAAGGAAACAAACCAGCAGAACCUUGCAACCGAACAAGCAACUCAACAAGAGACAUUCUGUGAGACUUCAGCAGAAACUUCUUUUUAUCUACACAAUGACAAUAAUAC